CUCUCAGACACCACAGUCCAGGAGAGUCUGACAAGGUGGCUUUAUUCCUGAAACUCAGGGACCUGAUCCAACGCGCUGGAAAUUGUGUUUCUUUUCCCAGCUCAGGCUAUUCACCUCAGGCCCCUGUUUUCCUGUCUCCUCCCCAGGAAGGUUGUGAUAAAAAUCAAUGACAUCAUGUCUCACUGGGCCCCAGCCACCCUUCAGGAAGCAGGUGCUUUGGCUGAGUGGAGGCUGGGGCAUUUUUCUGCUGCGCUGGCCUGCAUCUGCCUUUCGAGUAGCCCUAGAGGCCUAACGCUUGAGGUCACCUUCAUGGUUUUUCCAGUGACCUUGGCCAUUAAUGAGCUCCCACCGCUUCCCCAGCUGCAGCUGUAUUAUAGCGCCAGAGUCUUCCAAGCCUGCAGGUUGUGCCAAGCCUGGAGGGAUUUGCAAAAGAAACAUUUGCCUACACCAAGAUCAUGAAGAUGUUUUCUUCUAGAGGAUUUCUAGUUUUAGCUCUUUAUGUUUAAAUUGAGGGAAACUAAAUGUAUGGCCUUAAGGAGCUGUUCCAGCCUGAGACUAUACACCAGCAGAAAGAAACUCACAGCACUGAAAAUAUUGUUCUCCGCCCUCCCUCAUCCCUCUUCCUUCUGAAUGGGAAAAAAGAGUAAGAAGCUUUUCCCUCCAGCUGAAAGCAAAGGAGUACUCUAGCCCUCUGUGAUAGCUGAUGGCAGCAUCUUUGGUGGCUCUCCCAGAGAGGCUGCUCUCUUUGCUGGAAUUUGCCUUGUUCUCUCCUCACUGCUGAAGCACUGUCACUGCGUCCUAAAAAAACACCACAGUAUCCGUAAGACGUUGCCUGUCAUUGGAGGUUUGCUCCUUCUCUCUAUCUCAGACAGGAUUCAAUGAAGAAAACAGAAGCCACUCAGCGCAAGAACAGACUCAUACAGGAUCACUGCAUGUGGAAUCAGGUAAGACAAGGUCAUACUGGAGUAGGAAAGGGGUUAAUCCAAUAUGACUGGUGUCCUUAAAAAAUGGGAAAUUCAUCGAGGGCAGAUUGGAUAAAGGAAAUGUUGUACAUAUACACUAUGGAAUACUUCACAGCUAUAAAAAAGGAGAAGAUUAUGUCCUUUGCAGGUACAGGAAUGGAGCUAGAGGUCAUCAUCCUUAGCAAACUAAUGCAGGAACAGAAAACCAAAUGCCACAUGUUCUCACUUAUAAGUUGAAGGUAAAUAAUGAGAACACGUGGACACAUAGAGGGGAAUAGCACACACUGGGGCCUACUUGAGGGUAGAAGGUGGGAGGAAGGAGAGGAUCAGAAAAAACGAUUGGUUACUAGGCUUACUACCUGGUUGAUGAAAUAAUCUGUACAGCAAACCCCAGUAUCAAGAGUUUACCUAUAUAACAAAACUGCACAUGUACCCCUGAACCUAAAAUAAAAGCUUUUUAUAAAAAGAAAAGAAAAAGGGCUGGGCAUGAUGGCUCACACCUGUAAUCCCAGGACUUUAGGACACCCAGGUGGGUGGACUGCUAAGCUCAGGAGUUCAAGACCAGCCUAGGCAACAUUGCGAAACCCCGUCUCUACAAAAAUUAGCCAGGCAUGGUGGCAUGUACCUGAAGUCCCAUCUACUUGCAGGGCUGAGGCCAGAGGAUCGCUUGAACCCAGGAGGUGGAGAUUGUAGUGAGUUGUAUUUGUGCCACUGCACUCCAGCCUCGUUGACAGAGCAAGGGCAAGACCUUUUCUUUAAAAAAAAAAAAAGAAAGAAAGAAAAGAAAAAGAAAAGACAAGAAAAGAAAAGAAAAGGAUAUAAUCAGCCAAAUUCAAAAUGUGUGAAAUGCUACAAGGACGUUCUGUAUCUGUGAUGAAUGACCCCUGCAUACAUUAUAUCUUUCAGUAAAAACAGUGGUGUUUCAGUAGUGUUACUAGCUAAGCUGCUUAACUCUCACAUUACAGACGUCAGUGAAGCCCCUUGGUAGGUAGUGUCUAAAAUUAGAUUUAUCUGCUUAUUUACACAAUUAUACUCUCAUGAGUUUGAAUGUUGGGGAAAGAUCAAGAAAAAGACCAGAUCACUAGAUGGCAAUAGCACACAAGAGCUUUAUUUGGAUGAAGCUUGGACAGAAUGCAUGGAAGGGGAAAGUCCCUUGCAGCAGAAGACCUUCCAGAGGCAGUGGCAGGGCCACCACCAGAAGAAAAGGGCAAGGACACUCCCAGGGGAGAGGAGGAUCAGAGAGGAGGUUACAGGUCUAAGAGAUGUCACAGGUCUAGAAGAAAAGAAAAGGAGCCAGGUGCAGUGGCUCACACCUGUAAUCCCAGCACUUUGGGAGGCCCAGGCGGGCAGAUUGCUGAGUUCAGGAGUUUGAGACCAGCCUAGGCAAACAUGGUGAAACCCCAUCUCUAAAAAAAGAUUUAAAAAUUAACCAGGCCUGGUGGCAUGUACCUGAAGUCUCAUUUACUUGGGGGGCUAAGGCUGGAGGAUCGUUUGAACCCAAGAGGGUUCAUGGUGGGGAGCAUCAUGGUGAGGAGUCUCUGGGUCAGAGAGCUCCAAAGGACAGCAGCCAUUUGGGGUCUUUUGUAGCCCUGAGGUUCGUCUUACCUAUGGUGAGAGGGUGUCGGGUGUAGUUUUGCAAAUUAUCGAAGCAGGCAGGCUCUAAAUGGGCAAAUAAUAUUUGGCCUACAUUUAAAGCAAUUGGAUGUGCAAGAAUUUGAGUUUGGUGCUGGCAGGCUUGAGUUAACGGUCCUGGGCUGUGGUGUGGAAGUAAACAGCAUGGGGGCCAAUACACAGGGGCUGUCUUGAACUCGUUCAUACAAUCCAUUUAUAACCUGUUUAUAACUUGUUUAUAACCCAUUUAUACCACAUACCCCUAAAGCAAAUACCUAGCAGAUAGCAUGCAGGGCCUAUUUGCCUGGCCUCCUUCAAUGGCAUCACAUUCUCCACCACCACGAUGGUUAAUAUGGACGAGCCCUAGCAGCUGCCCAGUGAAGUCCACACGCUACUGCCCAAACCAGCUCAAGUCCUUAGUUGUCAUGAAAAUAAUGUGAGUUCCCACAGCCGUAAAAGGGAAAGCAGCAAGAGCCACAUGAGCAUCCCCGGAACCCUGGGAACAGUCAUCAGUGUCAUCUUCAGGGUCAUGUCCCUACAAGCAGUUCUCAGGCUCCUGCUGAGGGUCAGAACAGAGCCGAAGUCACAGGAUAUCAAAAAUGGAUAAGCCCAACCUCAGCUCGCAGAGGAAUUGCUCAGCUGACAGAUGAUUGUGUUAUCUCAGUGAAGCCAGAUGACAAUGUACUUGGCCAACGGAACAUCUUGGUCAAUGGAUCUCCAAGUUGGUUAUAAAAUUAAAGCAAAAUAAUGCCAUUAUAUGUAAGAUGUCAUUGAUUGUAAGAUGCUCCUUUAUUUGAUGUACCACUAAUAAAUAAAAACACUGACAUUUAAACAAUGACAAUUGCAUAACACAUCUGCUUGUUCAAUGUUAAAUAUGAAAAAAUGUGC
rnacentral:lncRNA from 1 species